AACUACGUGCCAGCAGCCGCGCUAAUACGUAGGGAGCGAGCGUUGUCCGGAUUUCCUGGGUGUAAAGGGCGUGUAGGCGGAGCUGCAAGUCAGAAGUGAAAUCCCCGGGCUCAACCCGGGAACUGCUUUUGAAACUGUAGCCCUUGAGUAUCGGAGAGGCAGGCGGAAUUCCUAGUGUAGCGGUGAAAUGCGUAGAUAUUAGGAGGAACACCAGUGGCGAAGGCGGCCUGCUGGACGACAACUGACGCUGAGGCGCGAAAGCGUGGGGAGCAAACAG
rnacentral:rRNA from 1 species